CGGCGGACGGGUGAGUAACGCGUGGGUAACCUGCCUCAUACAGGGGGAUAACAGUUAGAAAUGGCUGCUAAUACCGCAUAAGACCACAGUACUGCAUGGUACAGUGGUAAAAACUCCGGUGGUAUGAGAUGGACCCGCGUCUGAUUAGGUAGUUGGUGGGGUAACGGCCCACCAAGCCGACGAUCAGUAGCCGACCUGAGAGGGUGACCGGCCACAUUGGGACUGAGACACGGCCCAG
rnacentral:rRNA from 1 species